CAUUCGUAUGAUGACGCGAUCAGAAUUGCGUACGAUAGCAGCUAGGAAGGGGUCGUGCGCAGAACAGAGAACAGACAGAAGAAGAAGAAACAACCUAUGAGGAUCGGUGUACUUACUACUAGGUGAAGCUAAGAAUCAUUUGCCAAAACCCCUUUAGUUUUGUGUACUUUAUUAGGGGUGUACGUGUGACGGUUUUGGUUGGAUUUGACCAAAAC
rnacentral:lncRNA from 1 species